UCAUGGCUCAGAUUGAACGCUGGCGGCAUGCUUACACAUGCAAGUCGAACGGCAGCGGGCCUUCGGGUGCCGGCGAGUGCGAACGGUGAGUAAUGCAUCGGAACGUGCCAUUGAGUGGGGGAUAACGUAGCGAAAGUUACGCUAAUACCGCAUAUUCUGUGAGCAGGAAAGCAGGGGACCGCAAGGCCUUGCGCUCUUUGAGCGGCCGAUGUCAGAUUAGCUAGUUGGUGAGGUAAAGGCUUACCAAGGCGACGAUCUGUAGCGGGUCUGAGAGGAUGAUCCGCCACACUGGAACUGAGACACGGUCCAGACUCCUACGGGAGGCAGCAGUGGGGAAUUUUGGACAAUGGGCGCAAGCCUGAUCCAGCCAUGCCGCGUGAGUGAAGAAGGCCUUCGGGUUGUAAAGCUCUUUCGGCCGGGAAGAAAUCGCAUGGGUUAAUACCCUGUGUGGAUGACGGUACCGGAAUAAGAAGCACCGGCUAACUACGUG
rnacentral:rRNA from 1 species